GGCGGCGGCCAUCUUGAGUGCGGGCGCAGCCUCGCAUCCUCUUCAAGGAGGCGGGACGGGGUGGCUGGGCUGCUGGGCCCUUCUGCCCGCCGAAGGGUGCGAGUCGGUGGAGGAGGCCGGGCACUAGCGGAGAGACAGCCUGUCCUCGUGCUUGUGGCCCUUCUCAGAUGCUCGCUGCUAGUUGCACACUGAGGUGCCGAAGGCAGUGAGCUUCAGAGCUUCUUUGAAAGCAGAUGAGCAUUAGAAGAAGAGGAAAGCAUUGAAAUGUCCAAAUCCUGUCCAGUUCUGGAACCAACGCUCAAGCAGCUAAGCAACAAAGCUACUUAAGAAAGUCCUGAUGAAGAUGAAGCUUCUACCCUAAUAGUGGACUGAACCCCAAAGGCUGGAGCAGAACUCAGCAGAAGAUGAAAAUCGCAGGUGACCUUCACAGGUCAGCCCAUACCCCAUCAAGAACCUGCAACACCUUUCUCUCCCUCUGAGCCUUG